rnacentral:siRNA from 1 species
UCACGGUUUACUUCAGGUGUUGGU